rnacentral:tRNA from 1 species
UCCCUGGUGGCUAAGACAGUAAAGCAUCUUCCUACCAUGCGGGAGACCCGGGUUCAAUUCCUAGCUUGGGAA